rnacentral:rRNA from 1 species
AUCCUACGGGAGGCAGCAGUGGGGAAUAUUGCACAAUGGGCGCAAGCCUGAUGCAGCCAUGCCGCGUGUAUGAAGAAGGCCUUCGGGUUGUAAAGUACUUUCAGCAGUGAGGAAGGCAGGUACGUUAAUAGCGUGCUUGUUUGACGUUAGCUGCAGAAGAAGCACCGGCUAACUCCGUGCCAGCAGCCGCGGUAAUACGGAGGGUGCGAGCGUUAAUCGGAAUUACUGGGCGUAAAGCGCAUGCAGGUGGUUUGUUAAGUCAGAUGUGAAAGCCCGGGGCUCAACCUCGGAAUUGCAUUUGAAACUGGCAGACUAGAGUACUGUAGAGGGGGGUAGAAUUUCAGGUGUAGCGGUGAAAUGCGUAGAGAUCUGAAGGAAUACCGGUGGCGAAGGCGGCCCCCUGGACAGAUACUGACACUCAGAUGCGAAAGCGUGGGGAGCAAACAGGAUUAGAUACCCUGGUAGCACAGAG